GGGCACGCUGCAGGGUAUAUGCAGCAACAGUCGAUGUGUGAAAAGGCGUGAGCAGAAAGGGACGAGUUGGGGAUAACACGUUGUUACUCAGAGCUUCAACAACGUCAGAGACCAGGAGACACGGAGGACGUGGUGUCCCGUCCGCGCUGGCGUUACCGGCGCUCUGCUGUUUGAACCGGGGUGACUAACUGCGUCGAUCCUUUCCCAGAUCCCACUCCCACACUACACACUACAACUCCGGCACUAUUCCUGGAGCAGCCCCCGCCGCUGUGGCACGGAAAUACCAGCACCUCCAAGAACAGACGCCAAGCCUGUCAGAGCAUCAUCACAUCCCACAGGACAGCUGGGGGAGGAGGAGGGAAGGAGAAGAAGAGCAGGUGGAAGGAUGGGCACUUGCGCUGUCGGAAAAAAGAAUCAACACAGAGAGAAAAGAGAAAAUCAACAGAGGAACCAGUUAUAUCCUGGUAGAUCAGCCACAAACUGUUUCUCUUCUUUUGAUCGUUGGAGCUGGUGCUCUUCUCCGGAGGUGUGUGUUGUUAUAUUACAACAUUUAUGAGGACGACAGGAGCAUAAUUACUGUUUUCUUAUAUAUAUAUAUUGUAUACACAUAAUACUAAAUUAAUAGAUUUGAUGUAACAUUUUCUAUUGCAAUGCCCCAUUAAGUAUUUAUUUUUGGCAAAAUUGACAGGGUUACAGAACACUAUAAUGUAAUUGUAAGGAGAUAUAUCCUCAAUGCUGGUGUAUAAAUAGAUAAUGAGUGACAAUAUUUUAAAACAUGUAAUAAUACAUGUUGUUAUAAGUUGUUAUGAAGUUAUAUUCAUUGACACGUGUUCAUUAAUAAACACUUACACAUGA